AGCAUAUCUGGAAAAAUUGAAGCAGCUGGUUUUGUUCAUUGAAAGAAAAUUGGAAGAGAAGUUUUCUCAUUGUCCUUGGCAUCAAAAUACAUAAUGCUCAACUCAAGAGGCAGGGCAGAAAGACAACUACUUGGAAAAACUGUGCGGGUAUUCCUGAGCAAAAGACGGACAAAGACUGUGGAUAUUAUGUAAUGAGAUAUAUGAAGGAAAUAGUGGAAGAUAAGAGCUUAGAUUUUUUCACCAAGUGGGAGAGAAGAGGCAAAGCAACAUAUACCCAGGAAGAUAUUGAUGUGGUCAGAAAUGAGUGGGCAAAGUUUAUGGUGAAGACAUAUAUGUAAGCAUUGCGCUUGGUACUUAUGGAGCUAUAUCU